rnacentral:rRNA from 1 species
GGUGGGGAUUAGUGGCGAACGGGUGAGUAACACGUGGGCAAUCUGCCCUUCACUCUGGGACAAGCCCUGGAAACGGGGUCUAAUACCGGAUACUGACCUGCCAAGGCAUCUUGGCGGGUCGAAAGCUCCGGCGGUGAAGGAUGAGCCCGCGGCCUAUCAGCUUGUUGGUGAGGUAAUGGCUCACCAAGGCGACGACGGGUAGCCGGCCUGAGAGGGCGACCGGCCACACUGGGACUGAGACACGGCCCAGACUCCUACGGGAGGCAGCAGUGGGGAAUAUUGCACAAUGGGCGAAAGCCUGAUGCAGCGACGCCGCGUGAGGGAUGACGGCCUUCGGGUUGUAAACCUCUUUCAGCAGGGAAGAAGCGAAAGUGACGGUACCUGCAGAAGAAGCGCCGGCUAACUACGUGCCAGCAGCCGCGGUAAUACGUAGGGCGCAAGCGUUGUCCGGAAUUAUUGGGCGUAAAGAGCUCGUAGGCGGCUUGUCACGUCGGUUGUGAAAGCCCGGGGCUUAACCCCGGGUCUGCAGUCGAUACGGGCAGGCUAGAGUUCGGUAGGGGAGAUCGGAAUUCCUGGUGUAGCGGUGAAAUGCGCAGAUAUCAGGAGGAACACCGGUGGCGAAGGCGGAUCUCUGGGCCGAUACUGACGCUGA